rnacentral:rRNA from 1 species
GUAGGGAAUAUUGGACAAUGGGGGGAACCCUGAUCCAGCCAUGCCGCGUGAAGGAUUAAGGUCCUCUGGAUUGUAAACUUCUUUUAUAAGGGACGAAAAAAGGCUUUUCUAAGUCGUCUGACGGUACCUUAUGAAUAAGCACCGGCUAACUCCGUGCCAGCAGCCGCGGUAAUACGGAGGGUGCAAGCGUUAUCCGGAUUCACUGGGUUUAAAGGGUGCGUAGGCGGGCAGGUAAGUCAGUGGUGAAAUCCUAGAGCUUAACUCUAGAACUGCAAUUGAUACUAUCUGUCUUGAAUAUUGUGGAGGUAAGCGGAAUAUGUCAUGUAGCGGUGAAAUGCUUAGAUAUGACAUAGAACACCUAUUGCGAAGGCAGCUUACUACGCAUAUAUUGACGCUGAGGCACGAAAGCGUGGGGAUCAAACAGGAUUAGAAACCCGUGUAGUCC